AUCUUUGCGCUUGGGGCAAUGACGCAGUUAGUGAGGUGAAACCGAGACGCGCCAAUUGCUGGUUGAAAACUAUUUCCUUAAGAAAGAUGAAUAAAAUGGUAAUCUUUUAGGGAGAAAGGAUAUCUUAAGAAUCCUUGACUGUCUUACUCGUCUAAAUAAAGUCAAGA
rnacentral:snRNA from 1 species